AUGGCCACAAGAGACCAGAACCGGUUGCCCCGCCCAACUUCAUCUCGUCCAUCAAUGCUACCCACACAUCCAUCAGCACGACUUGCACAACCAUCAACUUCACUCGUCCAUCAACGUUACCCACAUGGCCCUCAACUUCACUCGUCCAUCAACGUUGCCCACAUGGCCCUCAACUUCACUCGUCCAUCAACGUUAUCCACACGGCCAUCAACUUUACUCGUCCAUCAACGUUACCCACACGCCCAUCAACUUCACUCGUCCAUCAACGUUACCCACACGCCCAUCAACUUCACUCGUCCAUCAACGUUACCCACAUGUCCAUCAAGGUCACUCGUCCAUCAACGUCACUCGUCCAUCAACAUUACCCGCACACCCAUCACCUUCACUUGUCCAACAACUUCACUUGUCCAUCAGCUUCACUCGUCCAUCAACGCUACCUGCAGGUCCAUCAACUUCAUCUCGUCCAUCAACUUCAUCUCGUCCAUCAACGUUACCACACGUCCAUCAACUUCAUCUCAUCCAUCAACUUCACCUCAUCCAUCAACGUUACCACAUGUCCAUCAACUUCAUCUCAUCCAUCAACGUUACCUCAUGUCCAUCAACUUCAUCUCGUCCAUCAACGUUACCACACGUCCAUCAACUUCAUCUCAUCCAUCAAUGUUACUCGCACGUCCAUCAACUUCACUCAUCCAUCAACGUUACCGCGUGCCCAUCAACUUCACUCGUCCAUCAACGUUACCGCACGCCCAUCAACUUCACUCGUCCAUCAAUGUUACCCACAUGUCCAUCAACUUCACUCAUCCAUCAACUUCACUCAUCCAUCAACAUUACCCGCACGUCCAUCAACUUCACUCGUCCAUCAACUUCAGUCAUCCAUCAACGUUACCCACACGUCCAUCAGCUUCACUCGUCCAUCGACAUUACCCACACGCCCAUCAACUUCACUUGUCCAUCAACUUCAUCUUGUCCAUCAGCGCUAUCCGCACGCCCAUCAGCUCACUAAAGGCUCUGGGAGGCCCCACAGCAAAGAAACUCAAUGGACCCGGAACUCCCCAAACCUAA
rnacentral:lncRNA from 1 species